rnacentral:rRNA from 1 species
GACGUAGGGCGCGAGCGUUGUCCGGAUUUAUUGGGCGUAAAGAGCUCGUAGGCGGCUUGUUGCGUCGGCUGUGAAAAACCCAUGGCUCAACCGUGGGCUUGCAGCCGAUACGGGCAGGCUAGAGUUCGGUAGGGGAGGACUGGAAUUCCUGGUGUAGCGGUGAAAUGCGCAGAUAUCAGGAGGAACACCGGUGGCGAAGGCGGGGUCUCUGGGCCGAUACUGACGCUGAGGAGCGAAAAGCGUGGGGGAGCGAACGGGG